AACUAACGCUGGCGGCGUGCCUAACACAUGCAAGUCGUACGAGAAAGCCGGCUUCGGCUGGUGAGUAAAGUGGCGCACGGGUGAGUAACGCGUGGAUAAUCUGCCCUUAAGUGUGGAAUAACGUACCGAAAGGUGCGCUAAUACCGCAUAAUGCCUGGCAACACAAGUUGUCCGGCCAAAGAAGGCCUCUGUUUACAAGCUUUCGCUUCAGGAUGAGUCCGCGUACCAUUAGCUUGUUGGUGGGGUAAUGGCCUACCAAAGCUGCGAUGGUUAGCUGGUCUGAGAGGAUGAUCAGCCACACUGGAACUGAGACACGGUCCAGACUCCUACGGGAGGCAGCAGUAAGGAAUAUUGGGCAAUGGUCGAAAGACUGACCCAGCCAUGCCGCGUGCAGGAUGAAGGCCCUAUGGGUUGUAAACUGCUUUUAGCCGGGAAUAAACACCCGUUUUAUAACGGGCCCGAAGGUACCGGCUGAAUAAGCAUCGGCUAACUCCGUGCC
rnacentral:rRNA from 1 species